rnacentral:rRNA from 1 species
AACGAACGCUGGCGGCAUGCCUAACACAUGCAAGUCGAACGAGACCUUCGGGUCUAGUGGCGCACGGGUGCGUAACGCGGGGGAACCUGCCCUUAGGUUCGGAAUAAUUCUCCGAAAUGGGUGCUAAUACCGGAUAAUGUCCUCGGACCAAAGAUUUAUCGCCUUUGGAUGGGCCCGCGUUGGAUUAGCUAGUUGGUAGGGUAAAAGCCUACCAAGGCGACGAUCCAUAGCUGGUCUGAGAGGAUGAUCAGCCACACUGGGACUGAGACACGGCCCAGACUCCUACGGGAGGCAGCAGUGGGGAAUAUUGGACAAUGGGCGAAAGCCUGAUCCAGCAAUGCCGCGUGAGUGAUGAAGGCCUUAGGGUUGUAAAGCUCUUUUACCCGGGAUGAUAAUGACAGUACCGGGAGAAUAAGCUCCGGCUAACUCCGUG